UUUAGUCAUCUUCAGUCAUAUGCAUACCUACAUAAAUGAAGAAAACAGGAAUAGGUAGCUCUUCAUACAUGAAGAUGCAGUCAUCUGCAGACAUGAAGAAUGAUGGAUAUAAGUUGCAUAUAUACAGGCAAAUGUAUUACACAAAUAGAUACAGGUAUGCAAAACCAUAUAACUGCAAACUACAUAAUUGCAUUUUCAGAAUCUUCAGGUCUCCACAACAAAAACAGGUCUAGGUAAUUUGCAUAACAGAGGCUCAUAACUGUAGAUCAAUUUAGAUAACUACAUAACAUAUUUUACAACAAAAUAACACACAAGAUUACUUUGUUACGUAAGAAAAUGAGGCAACUCACAAGACAAGGUGAAGAGAAAAACAGAUUUAGCAAGUAUAUAUAUGGAUUGAAAAAAUAAACUACACCAGCACAUGACAUUGGUUACUGAAAAAAUAAAUCGUAACAUUAGAGUCUGAAUCUACAAGGAAUUUUAAUGAAUUAACAAGCUACUCGAUCGAUAACUCAGCAUUUAUGCUGACAGAUACUCAUUUGCUCCAUUGUACUGUACCAUUAGAUGAAGAUGAGCCACUUCCUGAUCUGCUUGAGCUGCUAGCAGCCGGGGAAUCCCUAUGAAUCUCCACUGACCGGUAAUUCACUAUUGGCAUCUCGUCCUCUCAGCCUCCAUUUCUUUCUCCAGAAUGUCAGCCUGGCAAAAAAACAAAACAAAACAUGAUCGACUUACAAGAAAAGCCCACUCGUGUUUCUCUAGGAUAUUUUCUAUGAGCUUGAAGUAACCCACCAAAAAAACAGAAGAAACCACCGGCUAGUAUCCCCU
rnacentral:lncRNA from 1 species